GACGAACCGUGCGAACGUUGUUCGGAAUCACUGGGCUUAAAGGGUGCGUAGGCGGCGCGGUAAGUCGGGUGUGAAAUCUCGGAGCUUAACUCCGAAACUGCAUUCGAUACUGCCGUGCUUGAGGACUGGAGAGGAGACUGGAAUUUACGGUGUAGCGGUGAAAUGCGUAGAUAUCGUAAGGAAGACCAGUGGCGAAGGCGGGUCUCUGGACAGUUCCUGACGCUGAGGCACGAAGGCCAGGGGAGCAAACGGG
rnacentral:rRNA from 1 species